UACGUAGGUGGCAAGCGAUACUCGGAAUCACUAGGCGUAAAGCGCAGGUAGGCGGUUUGGUAAGUCUUUUGUGAAAGCUCCCGGCUCAACUGGGAGAGGUCAAGGGAAACUACCGGACUAGAGUGUGGUAGGGGAUACUGGAAUUCCUGGUGUAGCGGUGAAAUGCGUAGAUAUCAGGAGGAACACCGAUGGCGAAGGCAGGUCUCUGGGCCACUACUGACGCUGAGAAGCGAAAGCAUGGGGAGCGAACAGG
rnacentral:rRNA from 1 species